rnacentral:rRNA from 1 species
UGGUGGAGUGAUUUGUCUGGUUAAUUCCGUUAACGAACGAGACCUCCAUCUGUUAAUACGGGUCAUUGACUCGUCAGUGAACUGUACUUACAGAGACUAUCGGAUCAAAGCCGAUGGAAGCUGGAGGCAAUAACA